CCUACGGGUGGCUGCAGUGGGGAAUAUUGCACAAUGGGCGCAAGCCUGAUGCAGCCAUGCCGCGUGUGUGAAGAAGGCCUUCGGGUUGUAAAGCACUUUCAGCGGGGAGGAAGGCGUUAAGGUUAAUAACCUUGGCGAUUGACGUUACCCGCAGAAGAAGCACCGGCUAACUCCGUGCCAGCAGCCGCGGUAAUACGGAGGGUGCAAGCGUUAAUCGGAAUUACUGGGCGUAAAGCGCACGCAGGCGGUCUGUCAAGUCGGAUGUGAAAUCCCCGGGCUCAACCUGGGAACUGCAUUCGAAACUGGCAGGCUAGAGUCUUGUAGAGGGGGGUAGAAUUCCAGGUGUAGCGGUGAAAUGCGUAGAGAUCUGGAGGAAUACCGGUGGCGAAGGCGGCCCCCUGGACAAAGACUGACGCUCAGGUGCGAAAGCAUGGGUAGCGAACAGGAUUAGAUACCCCUGUAGUC
rnacentral:rRNA from 1 species